rnacentral:rRNA from 1 species
GGUUAAGCGACUAAGCGUACACGGUGGAUGCCCUGGCAGUCAGAGGCGAUGAAGGACGUGCUAAUCUGCGAAAAGCGUCGGUAAGGUGAUAUGAACCGUUAUAACCGGCGAUGUCCGAAUGGGGAAACCCAGUGCAAUUCGUUGCACUAUCGUUAACUGAAUACAUAGGUUAACGAGGCGAACCGGGGGAACUGAAACAUCUAAGUACCCCGAGGAAAAGAAAUCAACCGAGAUUCCCCCAGUAGCGGCGAGCGAACGGGGAGCAGCCCAGAGUCUGAAUCAGCUUGUGUGUUAGUGGAACGGUCUGGAAAGUCCGACGGUACAGGGUGAUAGUCCCGUACACCAAAAUGCACAGGCUGUGAACUCGAAGAGUAGGGCGGGACACGUGGUAUCCUGUCUGAAUAUGGGGGGACCAUCCUCCAAGGCUAAAUACUCCUGACUGACCGAUAGUGAACCAGUACCGUGAGGGAAAGGCGAAAAGAACCCCGGCGAGGGGAGUGAAAAAGAACCUGAAACCGUGUACGUACAAGCAGUGGGAGCACCUUCGGGUGUGACUGCGUACCUUUUGUAUAAUGGGUCAGCGACUUAUAUUCUGUAGCAAGGUUAACCGUAUAGGGGAGCCGCAGGGAAACCGAGUCUUAACUGGGCGUUAAGUUGCAGGGUAUAGACCCGAAACCCGGUGAUCUAGCCAUGGGCAGGUUGAAGGUUGGGUAACACUAACUGGAGGACCGAACCGACUAAUGUUGAAAAAUUAGCGGAUGACUUGUGGCUGGGGGUGAAAGGCCAAUCAAACCGGGAGAUAGCUGGUUCUCCCCGAAAGCUAUUUAGGUAGCGCCUCGUGAACUCAUCUUCGGGGGUAGAGCACUGUUUCGGCUAGGGGGUCAUCCCGACUUACCAACCCGAUGCAAACUACGAAUACCGAAGAAUGUUAUCACGGGAGACACACGGCGGGUGCUAACGUCCGUCGUGAAGAGGGAAACAACCCAGACCGCCAGCUAAGGUCCCAAAGUCAUGGUUAAGUGGGAAACGAUGUGGGAAGGCACAGACAGCCAGGAUGUUGGCUUAGAAGCAGCCAUCAUUUAAAGAAAGCGUAAUAGCUCACUGGUCGAGUCGGCCUGCGCGGAAGAUGUAACGGGGCUAAACCAUGCACCGAAGCUGCGGCAGCGACACUAUGUGUUGUUGGGUAGGGGAGCGUUCUGUAAGCCUGCGAAGGUGUGCUGUGAGGCAUGCUGGAGGUAUCAGAAGUGCGAAUGCUGACAUAAGUAACGAUAAAGCGGGUGAAAAGCCCGCUCGCCGGAAGACCAAGGGUUCCUGUCCAACGUUAAUCGGGGCAGGGUGAGUCGACCCCUAAGGCGAGGCCGAAAGGCGUAGUCGAUGGGAAACAGGUUAAUAUUCCUGUACUUGGUGUUACUGCGAAGGGGGGACGGAGAAGGCUAUGUUAGCCGGGCGACGGUUGUCCCGGUUUAAGCAUGUAGGCUGGUU